UAUAAGAUAAUAAUAAACUAUGCAUAUAAUAUAUAUGUAUACAUGCGAUUACGUGCAUUCUGCACCUGCUGAGCUGUGGAUCCGGGGACAGUCAGACGGGGAUGUUGAUCCCUGCGCCGUGCCUGCACACGCUGCUCCGGCUGCUGGAUGAGUCAGAGGUGAAGGCGGUGCCGUACCAGCUGAUGGAGGAGUGAGGCUGGGCCCUGGACCUGGACAAGCUGCACCAGGCUUUGAAGGCUGCUAGGGGGCGCUGUGAGCUCAGAGCCAUCUACAUCUGCAACCCAGGAAACCCCACAGGUCACGUGCAAGACCGGGGCUCGAUAGAACGAGUGAUCCGGUUUGCUGCAGCAGAGCGUCUGGUGCUGCUGGCUCAUGAGGUGCACCAGGACAGUGUGUACGGGCAAGACAAGAACUUUGUUUCCUAUAAGAAAGUCCUGUUUGAGAUGGGAAAGAAGUAUUCAGAAAUGAUGGAGUUGAUCUCCAUCCAUUCCAUAUCGACAGCCUGCAUGGGAGAGUGAAACCCUCACACACCCUCAAACGCGUCGUACAUAAAGAUCGCCCCCUAGGGGCCAAAAUAAAUCAUGUUUUUAUGUGUUGAACCUUUUUAAUGUUAGAUGUUAUAAGAAUGAACAUGUCGUUGUUUUCAGGGUUAGAAUUGUGUAUGAAAUGUUUUGGAGGCUGAUGAAGCUUUGUUUGGAUCUGCACACAAAUGUCUGUUUCAAUCAUAUUAUGGUCUGUACAUGAAUCAUUAAACGUGUUGCUGCUCAUUUCAGACAUCAGGUGUGGAGGCAGAUGUGUUUUAUGGACACGACGAUCAAAACUACCCCGUCAGGUUGUGUGUUCUGGUUCCUCCUGCCUCUCUGGACCAGGUCCUGGCUCGUCUUCAGUCUUUCCACCUACGUCUGCUGGAAAGGACACAAACGUGUGGAUAAACUCGAGCAUGGUUUUCAUGGUUGUCUCUUCUGACUUUUGUUAAACAUUUCAAUGCAUUGUCAUCCAAAGACACUAAAAAAAAGGCAAUUAAGGAGGCGUUGUUGUAAAAAUGUACCGUUUUCUGCAACAUGGACGUCUUCAGCAACCACCCAUAAUCAAUCAUUGCAAGUUUGGUUGGGAUCGGACCUUCCAUCGUGAAGUUAUAAGAAAAAAUCUGACUUUGCAUCGUUGCCAUGGUAACACCGUUGUACGAUCUGUCAACAUAUUGAGCACACACCAUCUACCAUGUGUUUUGAGUGUCUUCACCAAUUUUGAGUUUGAUGGAAAAGUUAUUCCUGAAAUCGUAAAGUAACUUUUUUUCUGUUUAUCCACCAGGAGGCGACGUUUUAAAACUUGACAGUUUUUGCAUAGACAUCUCCAGCAAUGGCCCAUCAUCGAUCAUUGCAAGUUUGGUUGAGAUCGGACCUUCCAUUACGAAGUUAUAUGAGUUUCGUUCUCUGCUGUGAAAAAUCUAAAUUUACGUUCUCGUACGUCAUGUGACAUAAGCAUCAUAAGUUCCUCAACUUGUCCACAGUGACUGCACCAAGUUUGAAGGUGAUCACAC